GAUGAACGCUGGCGGCGUGCCUAAUACAUGCAAGUCGAGCGAACAGACGAGGAGCUUGCUCCUCUGACGUUAGCGGCGGACGGGUGAGUAACACGUGGAUAACCUACCUAUAAGACUGGGAUAACUUCGGGAAACCGGAGCUAAUACCGGAUAAUAUAUUGAACCGCAUGGUUCAAUAGUGAAAGACGGUUUUGCUGUCACUUAUAGAUGGAUCCGCGCCGCAUUAGCUAGUUGGUAAGGUAACGGCUUACCAAGGCAACGAUGCGUAGCCGACCUGAGAGGGUGAUCGGCCACACUGGAACUGAGACACGGUCCAGACUCCUACGGGAGGCAGCAGUAGGGAAUCUUCCGCAAUGGGCGAAAGCCUGACGGAGCAAAGCCGCGGGAGUGAUGAAGGUCUUCGGAUCGUAAAACUCUGUUAUUAGGGAAGAACAAAUGUGUAAGUAACUAUGCACGUCUUGACGGUACCUAAUCAGAAAGCCACGGCUAACUACGUG
rnacentral:rRNA from 1 species